GCUGGGCAUGGUGGCGCAUGCCUGUAGUCCCAGCUACUCGGGAGGCUGAGGCAGGAGAAUUGCUUGAACCCAGGAGGCGGAGGUUGCGGUGAUCUAAGAUUGUGCCACUGCACUCCAGCUUGGGCAACAGAGCAGGACUCUGUCUCAU
ensembl:misc_RNA Metazoa_SRP Metazoan signal recognition particle RNA